rnacentral:rRNA from 1 species
AUGCAAGUCGAGCGGUAGCACAGAGAGCUUGCUCUCGGGUGACGAGCGGCGGACGGGUGAGUAAUGUCUGGGAAACUGCCUGAUGGAGGGGGAUAACUACUGGAAACGGUAGCUAAUACCGCAUAACGUCGCAAGACCAAAGUGGGGGACCUUCGGGCCUCAUGCCAUCAGAUGUGCCCAGAUGGGAUUAGCUAGUAGGUGGGGUAACGGCUCACCUAGGCGACGAUCCCUAGCUGGUCUGAGAGGAUGACCAGCCACACUGGAACUGAGACACGGUCCAGACUCCUACGGGAGGCAGCAGUGGGGAAUAUUGCACAAUGGGCGCAAGCCUGAUGCAGCCAUGCCGCGUGUGUGAAGAAGGCCUUCGGGUUGUAAAGCACUUUCAGCGGGGAGGAAGGCGAUAAGGUUAAUAACCUUGUCGAUUGACGUUACCCGCAGAAGAAGCACCGGCUAACUCCGUGCCAGCAGCCGCGGUAAUACGGAGGGUGCAAGCGUUAAUCGGAAUUACUGGGCGUAAAGCGCACGCAGGCGGUCUGUCAAGUCGGAUGUGAAAUCCCCGGGCUCAACCUGGGAACUGCAUUCGAAACUGGCAGGCUAGAGUCUUGUAGAGGGGGGUAGAAUUCCAGGUGUAGCGGUGAAAUGCGUAGAGAUCUGGAGGAAUACCGGUGGCGAAGGCGGCCCCCUGGACAAAGACUGACGCUCAGGUGCGAAAGCGUGGGGAGCAAACAGGAUUAGAUACCCUGGUAGUCCACGCCGUAAACGAUGUCGAUUUGGAGGUUGUGCCCUUGAGGCGUGGCUUCCGGAGCUAACGCGUUAAAUCGACCGCCUGGGGAGUACGGCCGCAAGGUUAAAACUCAAAUGAAUUGACGGGGGCCCGCACAAGCGGUGGAGCAUGUGGUUUAAUUCGAUGCAACGCGAAGAACCUUACCUGGUCUUGACAUCCACAGAACUUAGCAGAGAUGCUUUGGUGCCUUCGGGAACUGUGAGACAGGUGCUGCAUGGCUGUCGUCAGCUCGUGUUGUGAAAUGUUGGGUUAAGUCCCGCAACGAGCGCAACCCUUAUCCUUUGUUGCCAGCGGUCCGGCCGGGAAC